rnacentral:tRNA from 1 species
GCCAAAGUCUUGUAAUCAAGAGUUAUGUUUCGGCCAUUCCUUAUGUAGAUAGCCCUACCUUUGGUU